rnacentral:rRNA from 1 species
AACGUAGGUGGCGAGCGUUAUCCGGAUUUACUGGGCGUAAAGGGUGUGCAGGCUGCCCCUCAAGUGGUGUAUGAAAGGGCUCGGCUCAACCGGGCUAGGUUAUGCCAGACUGAGGGGCUAGAGAGCGAGAGCGGGACGUGGAAUUCCGGGUGUAGUGGUGAAAUGCGUAGAGAUCCGGAGGAACCCCAGAGGCGAAGGCGGCGUCCUGGCUCGCAUCUGACGCUCAGACACGACAGCAUGGGGAGCAAACAGG